rnacentral:lncRNA from 1 species
GGGAAGACGUGUAGGAUAUUUCAUUAAAAGUCUAUUUGUUCUACCUAUCUCUUUAGCAUGGCUUAAGGUGAGCCCGACUUCCAGUGCAAACCCUUGUCUAGAUGCUCCAGCUGGCCCAACUGCAAUGUCAACACUCCACCUGUAAUGGCUACUCUUAAGUCAACUUGACAGAAACUAAAGUGGAGACGAGAAAAUGUAUCCAUGAGAUUAGGCUGCAGGCACGCUUAUAGGGAAUUUUCUAUUUAGUGGUUGAUGUAGGAGGCUUGUCCAUGGUGGGUGGGUCUACUUCCAGGAUGAAGGUCCUCAGUUCUCUAAGAAAGCAAGAUGAGCCAUCUGUGGGGAGCAAACCAGUAAGCCAGCAAGCAGUGCCCCUCCAUCGCCUCUGCAUCAGUUCCUGCCAUUAAUAAUGCAAAGGUAUAGAAAAACAUGGCAUUUUCAGUGUACCGUGCCACAGCCACACACCUCAAUAUUACUUAGGUUUUAAAUAUAAGAGGGUCAGAGUGUAAUAUGAACCUACCAUCUCAGCUUCAGCCCCCAGGUCCCAGCACAACUUUAUUACAGUGAUUGAUACAUAAAAUGUUCUGAGGGAACCUGGAAAGAUAAUUCAUUACAGUACUAAACUUAGAGCUACUGAAGAAAAUCUCCAAAUUAUCUUCACAUUUGGUAACAUUUCUGGCUAUCUCCUAAGGUAGAAUAGUAUCUUAUUUCCCAGUAGACUUGUAGACAUUCGAAUUAUAAUUUAAAUUUUAGAAAACGUACAAAUCUGCCUUUCAUUACAUAUUAAUAUGGUCCUAAUUGCUCUAUAACCAUUAGCAAUUUAGCUGUAUUAUUUAAAGUGUGCAUGCAUAAAUACAUGUUUAAUAUUUUGGCUUUUCCUGUGUAUAAAAAUAAACCUGUUUGAAAUAUUAAUGCAUACAGUGACCCAAGACCUUUGGAAGGCAUUCUGCUUUCAGAACAUUUUAUUGAGUAUUAAUUAAAGACUUCUUGAUAAUUGGCUCUGUGAAGGUUACAUGUUAUUUUUUUUCCUUUGAACCAGAUAAUGACUAAAAUUACAUACACUGCAAAAAACUUUGUAACCUUUAAAAUUACAUGAAAAUAUACCUAAACUGUUGUUUCCAUAUUAAGUUGGCAUAAAUCCCAUGGAGAUUAUUCAGGUACCAAAGAGAAUAAUUCCUGUUGCAUGACCUGACAUUUAAUUAGUGAUUGAGGAUUUUCAUAGCCCUUCCUUACUCCUGUUACAUUUGUUCUUCACAAUAAGCCCAAGAGUAUAGUCAUAUGGACAUUAUAGUCUUUAAUAUCUGAGCUCAUUUGUUCAAUAACAAGUAAGAGAUCGCUGACCAGCAUUAAGUAAAUCAUUUUGGAGAACACCUUCCAGGGUACGUAUUCAUCAUGGGGUAUAUGUACAUGGGUACACAGUGGGGGCCCAUGCUCAUAAUAAUUUCUGUGUUUUGGGAUAUAUUCUGUGAUUUUAUGUCCUGCUGCUUUCUAACUUGGGCUAGGAAUAAAACUAAUUUGGUGUUGGUAUUUAAGCAAGAUCUUCUGGAAAAUUCUAGGGAGGGACCCAUCUUCUCCAAAGAGUCCAUAUUCAAACAGUGUAAUAGAAAUGGCCAGUUUUCAAUUCCCAGAACAUGCACUGAAAGCAACUGUUUUAAAACUUGCUGUGAGGGAAAGUCUCUGGGAAGAUACUAUCCAUGCACAGGCUGCUUGCCUGGGUAGAAGGAACUUCAGUGAUGUGGGACGUUGGAAUGUCAAGCCCAGAGCCAAAUUACCUUGGGUCAUUUUUAAUCCCCUGUUAUAGCAGUCCAUUGCCUACCUCUGUAUUUGGCCUAAUAUCUAACUGACUAAUAAAUUAAUCCUUUGGAAUUUGUGAACAGGCCCUGGGUCUUCCCAUCUCAGAAGCUAAGAAUGUCUGUCAUAAGUCGGCAGUAGAGGCCUCGAACAGAGGUAUUGCUGGUUUUCCUCCUUAUCUGAUUUUAUUAUUUAUUAUAUUAUAUUAUUUAUUUUUUGAGGCAUGGUCUCAUUAUGUAGCAUGGCCUUACUAUAUAGCUUUUCCUAGCUGAAACUUGCUGUAGAGGCCGAGCUUUGCCCCAAACUCACAGAAUUAUGCCUGCCUCUGCAUCCUGAGUGCUGGGAUUAAAGGCACCACUACCACACCUAGUAACAGGGCUGCUUUUCUGUAAUUUGUGUAUCUGCUAUACUCACCAUGGUAAGUGGGAAGUAUUUCUUUAUUUCUGGUUUUCUUUUUCUCUGUCACUAUGAAAGUUCCUUGUAAUAGUUACCAUGUUGGAAAAUGAAAUGUACAUUAAGCUAGGUCUAUGUUAAGAUAUGUGGAUGAUUAAAUAGAUAAGGAAAGAGCUGGACCCAUGUUAUCUUGUGGUGUGGAUAAAGAAAAUGGUCUAGGUGCCCUCCCCAUGUCCAUCAGUGAGCCACUUGUUUUCUUUUUUUUUUUUUUUUUUUGGCAGAGUUAUAGAGCCAAUUAGCCUGGUAAUAUAUAUUCAACUUUAAUGGGCAAGUAAAUAAUUAAUGUUAUUGCCUUUGUAGAUUUAGCUUUUGAGAUAUAAAUUAACAUAAUUAAAAGAGUAAUGUUUCAGUAUGCAUUCUACCAGCCAAGUUUAAAUCAAGCAAUUAAACUGUAGGUUUUCUGCACCAAAUGAGCUCAGCUUACAAUGACACAGAUGAGAGAGACGUAAAUUUGUUUUUGUUUUGUUUGUUUGGGUUUUUUUUUGUCUUCAUAGGCUGAUUGCAAAAAUGUGGAGGAAAAUGUUUCUUGUGUACAUAGUCAGUAAAUUAUCCCAAGCAUCACUUACAUGUUUUAAAUCAGUUUUCUGGUCCUUUAAUCUUCAACUCAGGACUAAAAUGUGGUCCUGUUUACCACUCUUCUGAGAAAUGAACUUUUCUGGC